CUUAUUAUUUUAAACGAGUAAAAGGGCUAAAUGCUUCCCCUUACUCGUUUUCUCUUCUGCAAACCCUCCUCGAAACCCUCUCUUCGCAGCACCUCACUAGCCCCAGCCAACUCUCCCUCUCUCCGCUGCUAGUAGUCGACUAGCUCCUCCCUCAGCCACCGCCCUCUAGCGUCCAGCCGAAGCUGUCAGUCGUCGUCGAGCCCAGCCGUUUGCGUGACCAGAUGCUGCCGCUUGUCUCCUUCGCCCAAGCCAGAAGGAGCGUUUACCGCCUGCCGUUCGCGCCGACCAGACGCCGCUGCUCGCACCCCUGCCACCGCGAUGCCCUUGUUGGAGUCGCCCAGCCUCGCGCCAGACGCCGUUCGCCGUACAGCCUCGCUGUCCCCAUUCUAGAUCUGGUCAGUCCUCCACCGGAUCCACUGUUUAUUUGAUAUGGAUUGAGGAAAAAAGGUGUAAUGGAAGAAAUUGGUCUUAGAGGGCCAAAUCAAGAAGGACUGCACGUUUCUAGAGAGCGGCGCCAAUACACGUUUUAACUGUGGGGAAGAAGAGGUCUUGUGGCGUUUAGCUUCUCAUUGAUGAGUAUAUUGAAAAGCUCAAGAACUACUGUCAUGUUGAAGAUGUUCAGUUGCGCUCAAAUCCUAGAAAUGCGCGGGAUCCGAGAGCUCAGGUUGAUGAUGAAGACAUGACUGUCGUGAAUCUUCUCAAGUCUGACGAUUGGGUUUAUCUCUUAACAUUCAUUUUUGUCGGAUCAUUACAUAUUUUGCUAUUCUAGCUUUGCUCGUUUACUAUAAACUAGUUUAGAACUCUCUCUUUUUCAAGUUUUGUAAAGAAGUAGUUGUUGAUUUUUUGCUCAGUUUGAGAAAAGGAUUUUGGAGUAAUUAAGUUUGAUUAAAGUCUAUUUUUACUUUUUGGGUUUAAAUGGAGGAUAGAUUGAAUAAAUUGAAAGAAAGCAAGAUAAGGAGGAAAUGUUAAUCUAAAAUUAGGUAGAAGUAUGCUUGAGAAUAGAUAGAGUUGUUGUUUGAGAAAAAAAAAAGGAAAAAAAAGAAAGAAAGAAAAAGAAAACAUGAAAGGUGAAGUUGAAGAAGAUGAAGAGGAGGGAGAAAAGAAAUAUGUAUUUUAAUUAAGAAAGAAAAAUAAGGAAGAGUUAGAAUAUUUUUAUUAUGAUUAUUUUUAUGGGAAAAGGGCAAAAUUAAUGAAUAUAGAAGGAGUGGAAUUUAAAAGAUAAUGUAGUAGUAUAUAUGCUUAUACUUGUUUAAAAAGAAAGAAAGAGGAAAAGAAAAAGAUUUUCCAUGGAAAUAAAAUAUAAUUUGUAGCAUCUUCUUUAAUGCUUUGCUUGUUUGAAUGUUUGAUGAUGAGAUUGAUUUUGAAGUGUUGGAAGGAGUUAAAUUGCUGUCCAAUAGUUUUGAGACCGACAAAGUUUUGGUAAGUUUAGAGGUUAGUAUUAAUAGUUCUUUAUUACUCUGGGUCUAAUAAUUGAGUUAUUUUCAAUUUUUUAUGUUCAAUUUAAAGAUUUCAAGGGAUUGGAGCCACUGUCCAGCAAAAUUAAUGAUGUUUGGACGUUUUGAUAGGUUAGAUUACUUUGUUGUAGUUUUGAAGUGAGAGGCUAGAUAUGGUCAAAAGAGAAUGAAUGAAAUCCCAAUUGACUUGCUUAAACAUGGCUUGCCUUAGGGGUAGUCAUUCAAACCGCAAAAACCGAACCGUUUCUAAAAACCGAACCGAAAACUCAAUGAAACCGAAAAAUUCGGUUUGAUCUGGUUUGAAGAAAUUUUGAAACCGAAUUAAUUCGGUUCGAUUCGGUUUCACUUUUGAAAAUUGAAUUUGAAAUCGAAUCGAACCGUUUUUAACUAAUAUAUAUAUAUAUAUAUAUAUAUUUAUUUAUU